rnacentral:tRNA from 1 species
AGAUUUCUUAACUAUAAAAGUAUGUAUUUUGAAAAUAUAAAAAAGAAGUUUUUCUAGAAAUCUA